GCAGAGGCUUCAACCCACUGAACCACCCAGAAAAAGAGGGGAGAUAUCAGCACUAAAGAAAAGAAGAAAGAAUUGCUGGAGACUGCAAAAAUAAUCUGGUUGUGUAUUGCGGAAAAGUUAUCCCAAUGGUCAUAAAUUACAUUGAAGAGGUUUCUAGAAAAGAAAAAAUAGAAGUAACAAUUCUGCAAUACACUUAAAAAUGUAAAGAAAUGUGAAAUGUAAAGAAAAAAGAAAAGAAAAGAAGACGAAGAAAAGAAGAGAGGGAUCAGAGAUACUGAAGGCCCUUGAGGGGAUUAUGUUACAACAAAGGAAAACAGACUUAGAGAGGAUGGCUUCUUGAACUUUGCUGUCUUCCCAUUACUCUUACACUUCAAAAAAUGUCAUCCAUUUCUUUCAGAGCAGAACGUCUUGCCAAAUAUGCUAUUUAAAUAUUGAUUGUAGAAACACUUCCUUGAUUUGAAAGUAUACUACCAAGACUGGCAAAAAUCCAAACUAUUUCUUUCUGUAGUCUUUGCCAUGAUUUAUAUGGGUAGUUCUUCCUACCAAGACAAAAUGGGAAAAGAACAGAAUGUAAACUGCACAAUACAUGCUAUUCUUGAAAAUAAAAUGCACUGGCUGGAGAUCUUGUGAAGGAUAUUUGAGAUAUUACUCAAGAAAUUCUGAUUAUGUACACAAAUAUAUCUGAAAAAUACUGUUUCUGUUUCUAAUAGGAACAUUUGAAGAACAGAAAGGGAAUGUUAAGGGAACACUAUAAAAUCAAUUAUUCUUAUGUAUGAGAAAAAUUUGGUCAAUGCCUCUGAUUUUUGUUACAUUAACUUUGCAGCUUAACUUUCAAAGAUCUGAAGAAAGGAAGUUGCUAAAGAUGCAUGUGCUCACUUAUUUUUCUCUGCUACAUUUCAAGACCUAAAGCAGGGACUGGCACCUAGCUCACACUUGACAAAUAUUUGUUACAUGAAUGAAUAAAUAAAUCCUCAGAGAAAUCAAAUUAACAAAUAAACUCUGCAAUCAUCACCAGCUGAGAGGUAACUGGGCCAGAACAUCCUGAGAUAUAAAUUUAAUCUCAUGGUUUAGGGCAUCCCAACCUGAGUGCAGAGUCUCAAUCUUAAUAGCAAGUAUCUUGUUUUAUACUCCACUGAGAAGAGAAAAUCAGCUUUUUCAUUAUGAAAAAAUAAAAGGAAACAAUCUAGCUCCUUAUCUAGAUUUAUUGUUUCAUGUAUAUGGUCCAUGCAGUCAUGUGUGUGAUGCAUAUAUUCGUCCUUCUGAAAUUUUCAAUGAUACAAACUCUGUCACCUUGUCUGGUUUAGACAAGCAUCUUUAGGUAAUACUGGUGUGGUGACCAUAGCAGAAAAAAAUAAAUCUAAAGCCCUAAGCAGCCUGUUUUACAUAGUAUUCCAGAAUAUCCUUUCAAGUCAUCUCCAAUAACAAGGAUAUUUUUCUCAGAAUUGUUAGUUAAUUCCCUUUGAAUCUUAAGAUAUAUAAGGGUCCACAAUUAUGUAUGAAAAAUACUUCAAAAUUAGACCUAUCCUACUUCAUACCUUAUCUUAUGCCUAAGUAAUUUCAAGAACUUCCUAAAUUACUUCUCUGCAGCUUCCAUACCCUCUCCCCCAACACAUGCUCCAAUCCACUCUAAAACAUGGCUCCCUAACUCAAGAACUUAUAAUGGCCUCUCAGUGAAAUAUGGCAAGGGAAAAAUGGCUUUAAGAUUAUUCUUAGGAAGCCCUUAUUCUUAGGAAAGAAUGAUUUAUCUAGUAUAAAGCUAUAAGAUGACUAUCAUCAAAACCAGAAAACCCGUGUAGAUUUCUUUGAAAAUAAGUAACAGGGUUCUAAAAGACAUAAUUAAAAGAAAAUGAAAAUAAUACCAGCAAAACACUGCCAGAUUGGACAAAAAGGAACAAGAGAAAGCAGGACUCUUAGAAGAGGCAAGACUGUCAAGCUGGCUGACUACAGAUCUUGAAACAUCUCAGCUUCCAUAACUGCAUAAUCAACACGAUGAGACUGGAAAGCUAUUGGGCUGUGAAUGUACACUAUUCCUCAGAAAGAAAAGGGAAGAAUGACGCAGAAGGUGAUUCAGAGAUCAUCAGAGCUGUUAUUUUCACCACAGACCCUGGGACAGAACUGGCUUCUGCUGGUUUCAGUGGGCCAGGAUGCUGCCACCAGGUGCCUCUGGGUAAGGCUGCCCUCCCAAGCCCUGUGGGCAGGUCCCUUGCAGAGAGUCAUGGGGGUAAUGGCAAACUAAAGGAGCAAGAUAAAGUCUUGCAGCUGUGAGGGUGAUGCUGCCACCCCAGUGGGCCUGGGAGAUAGGACAUCGAGCCAGAGGGGAUAAUUCUCGACAAUUAAAGGUCAAAAUUUGCCUUUCUAUGUUUGGACUUACAUGGGCCCAUCAACCCUUUCUUUUCCUAUUUGUUCCUUUUGGAAUGAGAAUGUUUCUCCCAAGCUUGUCCCACCACUGUAUUUUGGAAGUAUAUAACUUGUCUGGUUUUACAUGCUCAUAACUGGAGAAGAAUUUUGCUUCAGGAUGAAUCAUAGCUCAAGUCUCCCCCAUGCGCCAUAUGUAAUUUAGAUGAUAUUGAGAGGAGACUUUGGACUUUAGAUUUUAAAGUUGA